ensembl:lncRNA
GGUUGUCCAGUAAGAAAACACUGUUUUUCUAAGUUGCUCCACCUAGUUAAGAUGCCCUGAAUCAACAUCUAGUGUCUGAAAUUAUGACACGUUUAUUAUAAAGAUAUGUAGAUUGUCAGUUUCCGAAAUUUCCAUGCAGCCUUCUCACCAGCUAGACAUUCGGAUUUCCGCGUCAGCCCAUCGGUAACAUUGUGUCUUUAUGUAAUUGGAGAGUUCUCCUGGCCAUCAACGUGUGAGCCAAUGAAAUGCCUCCACGCGCGGGACAGUCAAAAAAGAUAUUUUUUCAAGCCUACGUCACAAUUCGCAUGCUGUCCGAACUAUCCGAGAUUAUUUGUGUGUCCAAAAUAGGCUGAAUUAUUAAUAUAUGCCAGACGAUCUUUCUUUUCAUAUGCACCAGAAAAUUAAAACCUGAGUGAUUAAUAAUCAACAUGCGUGUUUUUACGCUGUAAAUUAUUUUAAUUAUUUUCUUUAAUUUAUAUGAUAUGAAAUAGCACUAUGUAUUAAACCGUGUGGAAGCUACAAACAGAAAUAACAGUCAUGAAUACAAAUAUAGUGAAGAUUAGGGCUGCGUUCAGCCCCGGCAAAAACGGUCAGCAGGGGUUUCAGAUAAAAAAAAAAAAAAAAAUCGGCAGCUGGCAGCAGGAAGUGGCUGACAUUGACAGCCGGAAGGUAUAGGCGGGACCUGCCACUCGGUGGCAGCCAAUCAGUAUCGACCAACGUGGACGCAACCAAUCACAUAUAGCUACAACAGCAGCCAAACGAUUGAGCGAGCGCUCACUGUAGCCACCAGAUCCAGUCUGUAUCCAGAUCAGAGGGUCACUGCAGUCACCCGGAUCCAGUACGUAUCCAGCCCAGCUGGUGGAUCAGCACCUAGAAAGGACCUCUACAGCCCUGAAUGUUUACCCCUGUCUCAGACGACCACCAGGACAAGACCACAGGAAACAGAUGAUUCUUCUGCACAAUCUGACUUUGCUGCAGCCUGGAAUUGAACUGCUGGUUUCGUCUGGUCAGAGGAGAACUGGCUCCCCGACUGAGCCUGGUUUCUCCAAAGGUUUUUUCUCCAUUCUGUCACCGAUGGAGUUUUGAUUCCUUGCCUGACAAACUCUGGCUUGCUUAGUUGGGGACACUUCAUUUACAGCAAUAUUGCUGACUUGAUUGCACAGAUACUAUUUAAACUAAACUGAGCUGGAUGAUGACAUCAAUGAAUUCAAUGAUAAACUGCCUUUAUCUAAAGAAUGAGUGUUUACUCUAGUCCUUCUGCAUUAUUGACACACUAUUUUCCUAUUUAAUAUUGUAAAGUUGCUUUGACAAUUUGUAUUAUUAAAAGCACUAUAUAAAUAAAGGAGACUUGACUAAGUUGGAAGACGAAAAC